CCUACGGGAGGCUGCAGUAGGGAAUAUUGCUCAAUGGGGGAAACCCUGAAGCAGCAACGCCGCGUGGAGGAUGAAGGUUUUCGGAUUGUAAACUCCUUUUGUUAGAGAAGAUAAUGACGGUAUCUAACGAAUAAGCACCGGCUAACUCCGUGCCAGCAGCCGCGGUAAUACGGAGGGUGCAAGCGUUACUCGGAAUUACUGGGCGUAAAGAGCGCGUAGGCGGGUUAACAAGUCAGAUGUGAAAUCCUAUGGCUUAACCAUAGAACUGCAGUUGAAACUGUUAUUCUAGAGUAUGGGAGAGGUAGGUGGAAUGCUUGGUGUAGGGGUAAAAUGCGUAGAGAUCAAGAGGAAUACUCAUUGCGAAGGCGACCUGCUAGAACAUAACUGACACUGAGGCUCGAAAGUGUGGGUAUCAAACAGGAUUAGAUACCCGUGUAGUC
rnacentral:rRNA from 1 species